rnacentral:rRNA from 1 species
AGGGCACCACCAGGAGUGGAGCCUGCGGCUUAAUUUGACUCAACACGGGAAAUCUCACCAGGCCCGGACACCGGAAGGAUUGACAGAUUGAGAGCUCUUUCUUGAUUCGGUGGGUGGUGGUGCAUGGCCGUUCUUAGUUGGUGGAGCGAUUUGUCUGGUUAAUUCCGAUAACGAACGAGACUCUGGCCUACUAACUAGACGUUAGAUCCCUUUGUGGGUCUAUCGCAGCUUCUUAGAGGGACGGGCGGCGUUUAGCCGCACGAGAUUGAGCAAUAACAGGUCUGUGAUGCCCUUAGAUGUUCUGGGCUGCACGCGCGCUACACUGAAGGAAUCAGCGCGUGUUCCCUGUCCGAAAGGACUGGGAAACCCGUUGAACCUCCUUCGUGAUGGGGAUUGGGGAUUGCAAUUAUUCCCCAUGAACGAGGAAUUCCCAGUAGGCGCGAGUCAUAAGCUUGCGUCGAUUACGUCCCUGCCCUUUGUACACACCGCCCGUCGCUACUACCGAUCGAGUGAUUUAGU